CAACCCUGACCCAGCGACGCCGCGUGGGGGACGAAGGCUUUCGGGUCGUAAACCCCUGUUAGGUGGGACGAACAUCCUCAGUGAAGAGCUGGAGGAUUUGACGGUACCACCAGAGAAAGCCCCGGCUAACUCCGUGCCAGCAGCCGCGGUAAUACGGAGGGGGCGAGUGUUGUUCGGAAUUACUGGGCGUAAAGGGCGCGCAGGCGGCUUGGCAAGUCGAGUGUGAAAUCCCUUGGCUUAACUAAGGAAUGGCGCUCGAAACUACCUCGCUCGAGGGCGGGAGAGGGAAGUGGAACUCUCGGUGUAGGGGGUGAAAUCUGUAGAUAUCGAGUGGAACACCGGUGGCGAAGGCGGCUUCCUGGCCCGUACCUGACGCUGAGGCGCGAAAGCGUGGGGAGCAAACAGGAUUAGAUACCCUGGUAGUCCACGCCCUAAACGAUGGGCACUAGGUGUGGGCGGUAUUAAUCCCGCCUGUGCCGUAGCUAACGCAUUAAGUGCCCCGCCUGGGGAGUACGGUCGCAAGGCUG
rnacentral:rRNA from 1 species